rnacentral:rRNA from 1 species
AGAGUUUGAUCCUGGCUCAGAACGAACGCUGGCGGCAGGCUUAACACAUGCAAGUCGAACGCAUCCUUCGGGGUGAGUGGCAGACGGGUGAGUAACGCGUGGGAACGUGCCCUUCAGUUCGGAAUAACCCAGGGAAACUUGGGCUAAUACCGGAUACGUGCGAGAGCAGAAAGAUUUAUCGCUGAAGGAUCGGCCCGCGUCUGAUUAGCUAGUUGGUGGGGUAAUGGCCCACCAAGGCGACGAUCAGUAGCUGGUCUGAGAGGAUGAUCAGCCACAUUGGGACUGAGACACGGCCCAAACUCCUACGGGAGGCAGCAGUGGGGAAUAUUGGACAAUGGGCGCAAGCCUGAUCCAGCCAUGCCGCGUGAGUGAUGAAGGCCUUAGGGUUGUAAAGCUCUUUCGUCCGGGACGAUAAUGACGGUACCGGAAGAAGAAGCCCCGGCUAACUUCGUGCCAGCAGCCGCGGUAAUACGAAGGGGGCUAGCGUUGUUCGGAAUCACUGGGCGUAAAGGGCGCGUAGGCGGCUUGAUAAGUCGGGGGUGAAAGCCUGUGGCUCAACCACAGAAUUGCCUUCGAUACUGUCUGGCUUGAGACCGGAAGAGGUAAGUGGAACUGCGAGUGUAGAGGUGAAAUUCGUAGAUAUUCGCAAGAACACCAGUGGCGAAGGCGGCUUACUGGUCCGGUUCUGACGCUGAGGCGCGAAAGCGUGGGGAGCAAACAGGAUUAGAUACCCUAGUAGUCC